AAGCUUCCAACAUUUUACUGGAUUCUGUAAGCUUCUUCCCCAAUAUGUCGAGCCUUUUCUUCUUCACCUUGUUUUGAUUUUCAUUACUGAAUUUUCUUUCAUGUUAUUUUUCAGGACUACACCGCUAAGCUCUCGGAUUUUGGGCUUGCGAAGGAUGGUCCAGAAGGAGAUGAGACGCAUGUUUCGACACGAGUUAUGGGCACUCAUGGCUAUGCUGCCCCUGAAUACAUCAUGACUGGUAAUUAACUUCAUCUUUUUCGUUACGAUUUUUACACUCUCUCUAAUAGGCUAACGGUUUAAGCUUUUAGAGCAGUCGGUAACUUAACAUGAUAUCUGUCAACCUAAUUAAUUAAGGAAUUUAUGCCAAGUUUGAAUGAUACUAAUUCUUGUGAAUUUGAAUUGUUUUUUUCAGGUCACUUGACAGCAGCAAGUGAUGUUUAUAGCUUUGGAGUGUUACUUUUGGAGCUAAUAACAGGGCGAAGGUCAGUGGACAAGACCCGGCCUAGAAAAGAACAAUGCUUAGUAGAAUGGGCAAGAUCAUCCUUGAGAGAACCACGAAAACUAAGCCGGAUAAUGGACCCUAGGCUUGAAGGGCAAUAUUCAGAAAUCGGGGCUCAAAAGGCGGCUGAUUUGACUNNNNNNNNNNNNNNNNNNNNNNNNNNNNNNNNNNNNNNNNNNNNNNNNNNNNNNNNNNNNNNNNNNNNNNNNNNNNNNNNNNNNNNNNNNNNNNNNNNNNAUCAUUUUUUGUUUGAAUAUAUAUUUCAUUGAUAUACAUUAAACCCUAUGACAAAAUCCUUACCUUAAUGUUCAAUAUUUAAAUACUUUAUUCAUUCUAAAACAUAUAAUAUUAAUGUUUGUCUUAAUUUUGAAUUAGUUAGUUUAAAACAUUUUUAAUCUCAAAAUUAAUAUUAAUUUAUUUAUCUAUAAAUAAUUUAUACUAUUGAAAAAAGAUUUAAAUUUGAAAAAAUAAAAUUGAUAUUAUAUUUUUGAACGAGAGGGUAAGAACUUUAUUAAAGGUAAUUAAGACAAUAGUAGUAUGAAAAAUUGUUAUUCUUAGUAUACAUAUUUGAAAAACUCCGACAACCCGCGUAACAGAGGAGGCCGUUGACCCCAAAAAGGGGAAAACACCAGGUAAUUAAAUCACCUUUUUAUUUUAUAACAACUUGAAAAUUUUGUCAACUUUACGGCUCUAAACAACUAACCAUAGAAGAUUAGAAAAAGGUCACAAUUGGAAACAGCUUUUUUCUCACAAUCACAAUCAUUAAUUCAAAAAGAUUAGUAUAGUUUAUGAAACCAAAUUAAGUCAAGUUGGGUAGCCAAGUCAUUUUCCAUUCAACCAAAUUUCAUAGACUUAGAAACUCCUUUCCCACUAAUAAUACAUCAUUACUUCCUCUUCUUCAUAUAUAUAUAUAUAUAUAUAUAUAUAUAUAUAUAUAAUUCAAGAUUUUUUUAUUAAAAAAAUAAAAAACUUAAUCUUGAAGGAUAAAACUACGUAAUUUUACUAAAAUUUUACGUUAGCCAAAAGACAUGUAUUAGAUUACUUUUUUUCAUAUAUAUAUAUAUAUAUAUAUAGUACAACCUUAAUAUAUACACACACGUAUACAGUAUUUUGGUCAAAACGCACACAUACAAGUAGUAUAUAUAUGUGGAUGUGAAAUCCACACACAAACAUACGUGUACAUAUAUAAAGAGAGAGAGAAACAAAGAAUAAUAUAGAAGCUUUUCGAUCAUAUAUAUAUAAAGGAGUUGCAAACCUCUACCUCUUUGUAGGGUAGAGAAACUACUCAAGCCAUUUGAAUAAUAUCGGUUUUAUUUCUUAUAUAGAGCUCUCUAAAUAUAUAUAUAUAUCUUCUCCAUUUUCAGUAGCAUUCAAAUUAAAUUAUUUUUAUUUUUCUCGUUCCAAUUCGCAUUCCAGUCUGCUAACCAAACGCACCAUAAACCCCUUACACCGGAAGAAAAAAUGACUGUCAAGAAGAUAUCAGCAUGGAAAUCUUUGCUUCCAAGUUGUGGCAAGAUUGAGAAUUCGUCGUCGUGUAAGUCUAAGACUACGAAAGUGGUUCCAAAACCUUCUUCAUUUCAAAGGAUUUCUCUAUCGGAUAUUAGUUCUUCGACACUUUCGGAGGACUUAUCUAAUUCCCCAGUAGGGUCUAAUCUUCAUGUUUUUACGCUAGCUGAACUUAAAGUGAUCACACAUAGCUUUUCGUCGAGUAAUUUUCUUGGCGAAGGAGGGUUUGGACCGGUUCAUAAAGGGUUUGUUGAUGACAAGCUUAGGCCUGGUUUGAAGGCUCAGCCUAUUGCUGUUAAACUUCUUGAUUUGGACGGCAUGCAAGGCCAUAAGGAGUGGCUGGUAAUUAAAUUUAGUUAUUAUUAUUUUCACUAAUUAAAAUACCUUUUUUUUGGUUUAGUUAGUUGACGAAGUUUUGAAGAGUUUGUUAUGUAUAUUGAUUUUGCAGACUGAAGUGAUAUUUCUUGGGCAAUUAAGGCAUCCACAUUUGGUGAAGUUGAUUGGGUACUGUUGUGAAGAUGAACACAGGCUUUUGGUUUAUGAAUAUAUGCCCCGAGGCAGCUUAGAGAAUCAGCUCUUCAGAAGUAUGUCUCUUUUUGUUAAUUCACUUUGUACGUAGUUUGUAUGUAAUGAUAGUGUUAUUUGAAUUUUUUUUUUUAAUUUUUAAGAUGUGGCUAUGCUAACUCACUGUAUAUGAGUGAAAAAAACCAAAGCUCUAAUAAGAAUCUUUACUUCUGGACAAGUACAUAUUAAUUAUUGUUCAUCAUUUUCAUAGGUUUUCUAUUUUUUUGGACCUGUAAGUCUUAAGAAAAAUGGCAUGAUCCAGGCUUUUUGUCAAUAAAACAAGAUAUAAUAGUUUAAUGAGAAAAGGGUGGAAGAAAAAGUCAAAACUUGUGGUUGCUUUUGGAUAGUUGACAUUACAAGAACCGUACGUAGUAGCCUCUAUAUUUCAAAAUCAAGACUUUGUAUCAUAUAUAUUCAUAUGUAAUUAACUGUCCAAAGUUUACGAAUUCCUUAGUAUUGUGAUCUAGCCAUGAAUCAUCUCAGUACUUUAAACAAGUCAAAAGAAUUUAAUUACCAACUGGCCAGGAUAACUUUUUCAAGAAAAGAAUUUACAUUCAAGCGAUAAUUAUUUACAAAUGUAACUCAAAAUAUUAAUUGACCUUGAUUUCAGAAUACUCGAUGUCACUUCCAUGGUCGACAAGAAUGAAAAUUCUUCUUGGUGCCGCAAAAGGCCUUGCUUUCCUCCAUGAAGCUGAAAAACCUGUUAUAUAUCGCGAUUUUAAAGCUUCCAACAUUUUGCUGGAUUCUGUAAGCUUCUUCGAUCCCCAAUAUGUCGAGCCUUUUCUUCUUCACCUUGUUUUGAUUUUCAUUACUGAAUUUUCUUUCAUGUUAUUUUUCAGGACUACACCGCUAAGCUCUCGGAUUUUGGGCUUGCGAAGGAUGGUCCAGAAGGAGAUGAGACGCAUGUUUCGACACGAGUUAUGGGCACUCAUGGCUAUGCUGCCCCUG
rnacentral:lncRNA from 1 species